UUGAAAUCAGUGGCUGGAGUAGUUGUGGGCCAGAAACAUCCUCCUCAGCCCAGGAGAAGUGGCAGCUGUUGUAUUUUAAUCACUGGGAGUCAAGAAGUUGUAGGGAUAAGAAAUGAGUGCAGCUGAGGGAUCAGCUGGAGGUCAGGGAUGGAGGAAAGACUGAGGGUGUGUGAGAUUCUGAAGUAGAGUGGUGAACAGGGGUGGGAUGGAUGUCAGGGAGAGGUGAGGGUAUCUGGAGGGUUUCCAAACAGCCAGGCCUUCAGGAUGGCCACAGCAAAACUUCCAGUUCUGAAUGGUUUUGUGGAAAGAACAUGGAACCUGGAUCUUGGAAGACAUGAAUUGAAAUUUCAGUUCAAGCAUUCUAUAGCCGUGAGACCUGGGGGAAUUGGGGCAAGUUAUUUCACAUCUUUGAUCUUCAAUUCUCUCAUCUUCAAAAGGAGACUAAAGAUACUAGGGUUAAGUGAGAAUUUAAAAAAUAAUGCAUAUAAUGCACUACAUAAAUAGAAUCUUCUUCCUUUCCCUUUCUCCUACUUGGAAAUGGCUGAGAGCAAAGAUGCAGUUCUUACUGCAUCCCAUGACCACAGAGUUCUAGGACUGCAGCCCUGGGCAAGAGGUUCCACCCUGGCUGCUGGAGUUUUCUGCAAUGAAGAACUUCAGUGAGUGUUCAGGGCAUGCCUGCAGAACCCUGGUCCUUCUGUUUGGACCAGCGCUCCAAAUUUGUAGGCCUUUGGGCCAUAAUUUAGAACCUAUUUCUAAAUUUUUGAAGGUCUUCUGUCUAGUCCUGAGGAUUUUAGUCUCAGAGAAUUAAAUUGUCUUACCCAGGGUCGGUCAUACAGCCUGCCAAAGCCUGGCCUGGAAUCCAGGUGCAAUGUUCAUCUGUGUUACCAGUUCCUCCAUGCUAACCUGACAGUGACUCACAAUUCCUUAUAGCACAGUGUUCCAAAGUCUGAGCCACAGACCACCUGUACUAGUAGCAGCAGGUGGGCUUGAUAAAAAUGCAGAUUCCUGUCUCCCUGCCAGCCCCGUGCAAUCAGAUUCUGUGAAGUUUAAAAGUAAUGACUUAUAAAUUUCCCAGACCCGGGUUAUACUUUUAUAUGGAAACAUAAUGCCUGAAUCUGACAGAGCGCUUUUUCAUGGAGGACAGUUGGGACUCUUGGGCAGACUUCUUGUUGCUUUCGUACUCUACAGGUGUUCCUGACCCUGGAACAAGAGGAUUUAUCUGACUCAACUGGAGAUGGCUCCCUUCCCUAAUUUAUUGUUGCAUCCUGAAGCUUCCCCCAUGCUGGGCUCGGUGUGAACAAACAGCGCGGGAGAAUGCAACCACUGCAGAGGCAUAUGUUUGAGAUGCCUGGCCACUGGAGGUCAUCUCGUCUGCUAUGUUCACCACAGAUAAAUAAUGAAAAGAGAAUACACAACCUUGUGAUUGCUAGCAGUGAAAGCUCAGAGUUAUGACAUAACAGAAUUGGCUCUUGUGACCAUGGAGGCUGAGAUGUCCCAAAAGCUGGAUACCCAGGAGAAGCAAAGGGUACAAAUUGAUCUGACUUGAUUUGUCAGAGAGCCAGAACUGCAGGCAAAUAGACGCCAGAGAAAUCAACCAAUCUUUUAAGCCAGCAGUAAUUGUUCCUCCUGUUGGCUAGCUAAAUGACUUGUAUCUGGAGGAGAUGCUCAGAAUGAAUCAGAAUGCUUGAGGUGACAGAAACACAGAGCAUUCCAAAGUGGGCUGUAACAGAAGUGAUUGAUCAUACUGUAAAACUCAAAUGUGAAGGGAAGGCUGGAACCUACUGGAAACUGAAGACCUAACGCAAAGAAGGAACUUUUAGGAACUAGCAGAGACUUCAAAAUGUUGAGAACUCUCUUUUUUCAUAAGAGAAGAUAAAAACUCUGAUGGUCACACUCAUAAAGAC
rnacentral:antisense_RNA from 1 species